GUUAGGAAUAUUCGUCAAUGGGGGAAACCCUGAACGAGCAAUGCCGCGUGAGUGAUGAAGGUCCUUUGGAUUGUAAAACUCUGUUGUAUGGGAAGAACGACCAAACUAGGAAAUGAGUUUGGAAUGACGGUACCAUGCCAGAAAGCUUCGGCUAACUACGUGCCAGCAGCCGCGGUAAUACGUAGGAAGCGAGCGUUAUCCGGAUUUAUUGGGCGUAAAGGGUGCGUAGGCGGCUUGUUAAGUAUGAAAUUAAAGUCCGGGGCUUAACCUCGGUUCGUUUCGUAAACUGGCUAGCUUGAGUAUGGAAGAGGCAAACGGAAUUUCUAGUGUAGCGGUGGAAUGCGUAGAUAUUAGAAGGAACACCAGUGGCGAAGGCGGUUUGCUGGGCCAUUACUGACGCUGAGGCACGAAAGCGUGGGGAGCAAAUAGGA
rnacentral:rRNA from 1 species